rnacentral:sRNA from 1 species
GCGGAUUUCGGUGAGGCGGAUUCGUCCGCCGCUGAUCGCCUUAUGUUGUUACACACACUGAAGCCCC